UAUGGUAUAUUGGAACUCAUGAGCUCGAGCACCUUAGGGAAUGUUUGUUUUUAUUUUUUUAAAGGUGGUUGGACUGAAAUUCAGUAUGAAUCAUAUAAGAGAGAUUUAGAAGCACGUGAAGAUAAAUGUUUCCCAUGUGACACCAAACAGCACAUUUGGAAGGUACAAGAGCUCUCCAAGACCACUCCUAAUAUCAACUGCAUUAUGCGAAUGAGGAACAUUAAGACACAGAAAGAUGAAGCAACUCUCAUGAGUAAUUACAGAGAAAGCCAGAAUUUGAACCAAGACACUGGCUCCACAGCUCGUGCAAAUCUGCAACUCAUUCUGCCUUCCCGAAGUGUUUUCUAGCUGUGAAUAAAAUGAACG
rnacentral:lncRNA from 1 species